UACGUAGGGGGCAAGCGUUGUCCGGAUUUAUUGGGCGUAAAGAGCGUGUAGGCGGUUUGGUAGGUCCGCUGUGAAAACUCGAGGCUCAACCUCGAGACGCCGGUGGAAACCAUCAGACUAGAGUCCGGAAGAGGAGAGUGGAAUUCCUGGUGUAGCGGUGAAAUGCGCAGAUAUCAGGAGGAACACCAAUAGCGAAGGCAGCUCGCUGGGACGUUACUGACGCUGAGGCGCGAAAGCGUGGGGAGCGAACAGG
rnacentral:rRNA from 1 species